GAGAUCUUCAAUCAUGCAUGUAACAGGUCUCAAUACUCUAGUGCUCUAAAAGCAGAAGAGAAAGGAGGACAUUGUAAACAUGCUAAGUUCAAUGUAGUUGUAUCGGCCUUUGAGAAUCUUGAAUGGAGUCAAGGAACAUUUUUCCAUUGCAUUUAUAAUAUGGGUUCAACCCUUACUUCAGUCACUGAACAUACAGUCAGUUGCCAGCACCAUUCUGCUUUUGGUGUUGUGGACAGAGUGGAGCUGGUAUGUGAUGGAGUUAUCCAACUUAACCCUGUUUCUCACCAAGGUAGACAAAGUGGUCAUUUCGGAGCAGCCUCUCCCACUUGCUGAACCUCACACUCCUGGACCUUUUGCUUUCUGACCCUCUUCCAUUCCUCGAUUCACUCCUUGCAAACCUUUCUCGGACCACUGUCCCUCCAGCUCUCUCCCGCUUCUGACUCGCAGCUAUCAGCGAGGUGGUAAACAGGAGGGGAUGAAUGAGGAAAGUAAAGCGAUUUGCAGCAUCUGCAGGAUUUUGCUUCUGCCCCAUAGCUGGAGAGCACAAAAGUGACAACAUUGCAAGCCCAGCCAAUGCCUAUUCAUGACUGAUCAGAAAUUCAAAGAUAGCACAUUGGGCUGCAAGUAUUCUUCUGAAGGGCCACCAAUGGAUUGUCCCAUAGAUAUUUGCCAAGAUGGGAACCUGCUGCAAGGAAAAUCAGUCGAAGACCCCAGGUAGAUGACACUGCUCUCAAAAUAUUUAAGCACUCAUUUUCACAGUAUUUGAAGGUGGAGAACCAGUGCCUAAAGAGACUGUACCCACCUACAUUGAAUACAUCAGCCCAAUAAAGAUGUGAUAAUUAAAGCUGGUACGUGUUGUAAUCCCAGAUAGUUCUUCAGAG